CAGCUGUACGGCAUUGGAGCUCGGGAGAGACCGCUUAGUUCCAGCCGCCGCCGGCGCCCGAGGAGUGCGCGCUGCGGGCAUUCAGUGCGCCAUACGCGUCCUCCGAGAUGCCCCGGGACCCCGGCGGCUGAUACAGGGCGCCCCUGGCCGAGGCGCUCAGGACCGCGCCGCCCAGCGAGUCGCUCGCCGGCCUAUAAUACGGCGCCCUGGGAGCGCCAGGCCCGUUCCCUGGCACGCUGUCGCCGCCGCCCGAGGCCCCGGCGCUGGAGGGCGCGGAGCCGCUGGGGCCCGCGGGUCCAGGCAGCGCCCUCCCUUCCUGCCACGCGUUUUUCCACCAGACUGUAUUUUUACUUUGCCUUUUUAUAUGCAGAACACAAUGUAUUUAAUUUUUAAUUCAACUUUUAAACUGUUCCCUCGAAGGUGUUUCUGUGAUGGGAGCAUCUUCAGCAAGGGCUUCUUGUACAGCGGGGGUUGCCCUGGGCCUCCCGGCCGCAGAAGCCGAAAUAAAGCACCUGGGCCUGUCCCGCACGCCUGCCUCUGUGGUUGCUGGGGGCGUGAGAGCCCUGGACACGUCUCCUGCAGGGAGCCCACUGCCUUCCAGGACCCCCAGACAGGCAGGGGGUGGGGCUCAGGUGGUGGACCCCCUUCUCGGCCUCCAGUGUCCCCAGGAGGGUAGCGUGUGCUCCCCCCGGCUCUGCUCUCCGGCUGACCAGUACAAGCUCUGACGGCAUCCUGGCUGCACACCUCCGGUCCCUCAGCUCUGGAGCCCGGGCCACCAGCCUGGGGCCUCUCCAUGCCACCUGCUUGGUGUCCCCUCACCGGGCAUGCCCACAUGUCCAGACACAGGCAGCCCUGCCCACCCUGCAGGGCCUAGGGGGUCUGAGCAAGGAGGAGGGUUUCAUGUCUCAGGGGGAGGGGUUGUGUCCUACCCCCACACCCCCCAGCACACAACUCUGAUGUGGAGCAGUCACCUGCACUCACCGUCCCUGGUAGACUCUGUGGCUGCCCUGUGUGUGUGCAUGUCCUUGUGUGUAUGUCUGUCCUCAUGUGUGUGUCUCCACAGGUGUGCAUCUGUCCUGUAUGUGUCCCCACAUGUGUAUGUCUAUCCCAUGU
rnacentral:lncRNA from 1 species